rnacentral:SRP_RNA from 1 species
GCCAGGCACAGUGGUGUAUGCCUGUAGUCCCAGCUACAUGGAAGGCUGAGGCUGGAGGAUCACUUGAGCCCAGGAGUUCUGGGCUGUAGUGCGCUAUGCCAAUCGGGUGUCCACACUAAGUUCGGCAUCAAUAUGGUGACCUCCUGGGAGUGGGGGACCAUCAGGUUGCCUAAGGAGGGGUGAACUGGCCCAGGUCGGAAAUGGAGCAGGUCAAAACUCCCGUGCUGAUCAGUAGUGGGAUCAUGCCUGCGAAUAGCCACUGCACUCCAGCCUGGGCAACAUAGCGAGACCCCGUCUCU